AGUCUUGAGUCUGUUGGGCGGGAAAAGUUCAGGAGUUUUGUUUUUAAGAUUUUUAGACUUGAAAAGAUGCUAACUCUUUAUUCAUAAUCAGAUAGAUGCAAAUUAAAACUACAAUGAGCAUCGUGUUUCCCUUCUCGGAUCGGCAAGUAUCAAGAUGUUAACAAGGGUCAAGAGAACUUAUUUCUUUAGAGCUAUUUGCAACUUUCAACAACUGAGUAAAAUAUACUCCUGUGAACAAAAUUUGGAGCAUAUUUAUUCCUCUCUACUUUAUUUCUCCAGAAUUUGG
rnacentral:lncRNA from 10 species